rnacentral:rRNA from 1 species
GACGGAGGAUGCAAGCGUUAUCCGGAAUUAUUGGGCGUAAAGCGUCCGUAGGCGGUUUCAAAAGUCUGUUGUUAAAGCCCACAGCUCAACUGUGGAUCGGCAAUGGAAACUGUGAGACUAGAGAGUGGUAGGGGUAGAGGGAAUUCCUGGUGUAGCGGUGAAAUGCGUAGAGAUCAGGAAGAACAUCGGUGGCGAAAGCGCUCUACUGGACGACAACUGACACUCAGGGACGAAAGCUAGGGGAGCGAAUGGG